UUAAUCGUGGAAAAGCAUUUAGAAAAUAAUCAACACCCACUACGUUACCAGCUCGCGAAACAAGGAACGAUCAUUCCGCCAUUGCAGGCCAGGAACGAGAAAGGAGAACGCUCGUACGUCGAUUCCAACCGAGCUCGAGGAGAAGUCUCGAGGUCGAAAUCAAAGAACUUCCGUCGAGGGAUGAGCGACGUGGAUCGUUAAACCAAAAAAAAAAAAAAAAGAAGGAAAGAAAAG